GACGAACGCUGGCGGCGUGCUUAACACAUGCAAGUCGAACGCUGAAGGCCUGGCUUUUGUUGGGUUGGAUGAGUGGCGAACGGGUGAGUAACACGUGAGUAACCUGCCCUCUUCUUUGGGAUAACGCCCGGAACCGGUUCUUAUACUUGGUUUUCCCCUGUCUUUCCCUUGGGGUUUGUGGGAAGGGUUUGUUUUGUUGGGGGAUGGGCUCGCGGCCUAUCAGCUUGUUGGUGGGGUGAUGGCCUACCAAGGCUUUGACGGGUAGCCGGCCUGAGAGGGUGACCGGUCACAUUGGGACUGAGAUACGGCCCAGACUCCUACGGGAGGCAGCAGUGGGGAAUAUUGCACAAUGGGCGAAAGCCUGAUGCAGCGACGCCGCGUGAGGGAUGGAGGCCUUCGGGUUGUAAACCUCUUUCGCUCAUGGUCAAGCCGCAACUGUGGGUUGUGGUGAGGGUAGUGGGUAAAGAAGCGCCGGCUAACUACGUG
rnacentral:rRNA from 1 species